GAUGAACGCUGGCGGCGUGCUUAACACAUGCAAGUCGAACGGAAAGGCUCCUGCUUGCAGGGGUACUCGAGUGGCGAACGGGUGAGUAACACGUGGGUGAUCUGCCCUGCACUUCGGGAUAAGCCUGGGAAACUGGGUCUAAUACUGGAUAGGACGAUGGUUUGGAUGCCAUUGUGGAAAGUUUUUCGGUGUGGGAUGAGCUCGCGGCCUAUCAGCUUGUUGGUGGGGUAAUGGCCUACCAAGGCGUCGACGGGUAGCCGGCCUGAGAGGGUGUACGGCCACAUUGCGACUGAGAUACGGCCCAGACUCCUACGGGAGGCAGCAGUGGGGAAUAUUGCACAAUGGGGGCGAGCCUGAUGCAGCGACGCCGCGUGGGGGAUGACGGCCUUCGGGUUGUAAACUCCUUUCGCUAGGGACGAAGCGCAAGUGACGGUACCUGGAGAAGAAGCACCGGCUAACUACGUG
rnacentral:rRNA from 1 species